GUCAAAGAACUUCUCAUUUGAUGGCCAUCGGAAUUCAUUUUCUGCUCUCCAUUACCUUUCGAUUUGGAGCAGAAAGUAGGGAAUUACAGAAAAGCAGAAAUUGAUGUGUGUGAAGGAACCCCGAUGUGGUAGCACACGACUGCAAUGCCAGCAUUCAAGACCGAGACAGUAGGACGCGUGUGAGCCUGAGGAUUGCCUACUACAUGGUUCUUGUCACCUCUGCCGGUACCAGCCUGUUCUGCUUGAUUCCUGUGUUGCUAUUUCAUUAUGAUAUGAAGCACAUUGCCCUCCAGUCAGAGAAGGGAUCCAACUAUGGGUACGAGCUAUGAAACUAGAUGGAGGGGCACACUGGGAAGAAGGCUGGAGUUUCAAGACUCAUCCCGUGGCAACCACAGAGAAACUGAGUACAGCACUGAUGAGAUCUUGGGACUCAGGUGUUACCUCUCAAUAGUAUCGACCCUGAGAAGGAGUCACACCUCCCGGAGAAAUGGCUGAUCCAGGGAAAGAAUUCCUGCAAAAUUAGCCCAGAACAUUCUCAUCAGAAAGCAAAGAAGGUACCAAAGACGAAUAAGGAUGCAUCAAAGGACUUAGGAGCCGAUCGAUCUCAGAUUGAAAUUAAUUGAAUAGGCUCCAUGAACGACCUUUUUAUUCACCAGUGGAAGGUUCUGAAGAGCAGAUUUGAUAUUUAAAUUG
rnacentral:lncRNA from 1 species